GGGGUUGUGGCUCAGCGGUAGAGCAUUUACCUUGCAUGUACGAGACCCUGGGUUCGAUCCUCAGCACCA
rnacentral:tRNA from 1 species